GUUGGAACAGCAUUCUCACAACUUGUUAACAAGCUUGCUACAAGCCUGUUGAAGAGAUAUUCUGUUGACAAGUUGUUGGAACAACAGUUGUAGUACAAUGUGUGUGGUACACACGUAAACCCGCACAAGUUGUCACAGAAAAAACGCGCAAAUUGUUCCAGAUCUACAAACAAGUUGUAACAAGGUUGUUGUGAAGCCGAUAUCAGGAUGUGUUCGCACUGCUUGUUCCCAGUUGUUGUGACAAGUCUGGAACAAGUUGUUAUCAUCUUGUUACAAGGUUGAUGACGGUAACAGACUUGCUACAAGUUGUUCCAACAAGACUAAUACAGGCUGUUCGUAACAAGUUGCCACGAGCUUGUUGUCAUCAACUUGUUAGCAACUUGUUACGUGCAGACGAUAUCAGACUUGUUGGAACAACUUGUUGCGAGUCUGUUGGCCUCAUCAACCUUGUUACAAGAUGAUAACAACUUGUUCCAGACUUGUCAACAACUGGGAACAAGCAGUGCGAACACAUCUUGUUGACAAGUUGUGAGAUUU